GGGUGAGUAACACGUGGGUAACCUGCCUUAUAGAGGGGGAUAGCCUUCCGAAAGGAAGAUUAAUACCGCAUAAUAUGUUUUUAUCGCAUGGUAGAAACAUCAAAGGAGCAAUCCGCUAUAAGAUGGACCCGCGGCGCAUUAGCUAGUUGGUGAGGUAACGGCCCACCAAGGCGACGAUGCGUAGCCGACCUGAGAGGGUGAUCGGCCACAUUGGAACUGAGACACGGUCCAGACUCCUACGGGAGGCAGCAGUGGGGAAUAUUGCGCAAUGGGGGAAACCCUGACGCAGCAACGCCGCGUGAAUGAAGAAGGCCUUAGGG
rnacentral:rRNA from 1 species